rnacentral:rRNA from 1 species
UACGUAGGGGGCGAGCGUUGUCCGGAUUUAUUGGGCGUAAAGAGCUCGUAGGCGGUUCCGUAAGUCGAGUGUGAAAAAUCUGGGCUCAACCCAGUGGAGCACUCGAUACUGCGGUGACUAGAGUACGGUAGAGGAGUGUGGAAUUCCUGGUGUAGCGGUGAAAUGCGCAGAUAUCAGGAGGAACACCAACGGCGAAGGCAGCACUCUGGGCCGGUACUGACGCUGAGGAGCGAAAGCGUGGGGAGCAAACAGG